rnacentral:rRNA from 1 species
UGAGGGGCUAAAUUAAUAAAAUUAUAAAUAAUUAAAGUAGUUUUAAUGUUAAAAUUGGGGGGUUUUAGUAUUAAUAAAGAAAUAAUUAAAAAAUUUAUAGUUAAUUAGUAUUGUAAAAGAAAUUUUAAAUAUUUUGAAAAUAAAAUUUGUUGGAAAGUAAAUUUAAUUUAUUGUAUCUUGUGUAUCAGAGUUUAUUAAAUAUAUAUUUUAGUAUUAAUUAUUUCUCGAAUUUAAAAGAGAUAAUUAAUUAUAAAAGUUAUUGUUGCAUAAAUAUUUUUAAUAAUUAAUUAGAAAUGAGAUGUUAAUCGUUUUUAAAGAUAUCUAGUUUUUUUAGAAAAAAAUUUAAUUUUAAAUUAAUUUUAUUAAUUAAUUAAUUAAUUAAUUAAUUAAAAAUAUAAUUUUAUAUUUUAAGGGAUAAGCUUUAAAUUAAAUUUUUAUAAUUAUAUUGUAUUUAAUUUGAAAUUUUUAAAAUUUAUAUUAUUUAAAAAUUUUAAUUUGUUAUAAAUAAUUUCACUAUUAAAUAAAAUUUUAUAAUAAUUUAAUUUUUUAUUAAAAAAUAAUUUUAAAUAAGGUAAAUUUAGUUAUAAUGAUAAAAUUAGUAUUAAAUUACAUAAAAAUAUUUAAUUUUAUAAAGUUAAAUAAAAGGAAUUCGGCAAAUUAUUAAUUUAUAUUCACUUGUUUAUCAAAAACAUGUCUUUUUGAGAAUAAUUUAAAGUCUAAUCUGCCCACUGAUAAUAUAUUAAAGGGCUGCAGUAUUUUGACUGUACAAAGGUAGCAUAAUCAAUAGUCUCUUAAUUGGUGACUUGUAUGAAAGAUUGGAUGAGAUAUAAACUGUCUCUAAUUUAUAUAAAGAAUUUAAUUUUUUGAUUAAAAAGUCAAAAUAAUUUUAAAAGACGAGAAGACCCUAUAGAGUUUUAUAUUUAAAUUAAUUGAGAUUAUUUUUUAGAAUAAUAAUUAAAAUUAAUUAAAAUAUUUUGUUGGGGUGAUAAAAAAAUAUGAAUAACUUUUUUUAAAAAUAUUUUCAUUGAUAAGUGAAUAAUUGAUCCAUAAUUUUUGAUUAAAAGAAAAAAUUACCUUAGGGAUAACAGCGUAAUUUUUUUUUUUAGUUCAAAUAAGAAAAAGAGUUUGCGACCUCGAUGUUGGAUUAAGAUAAAAUUUAUAUGCAAAAGUAUAAAAUUUUGAUCUGUUCGAUCAUUAAAAUCUUACAUGAUCUGAGUUCAAACCGGUGUGAGCCAGGUUGGUUUCUAUCUUUAAAGAAAUAAGAUAUUUUAGUACGAAAGGAAUAAAUAUCUAAAUUAUAUUUAAAAUUUUUGAAUUUUAUUAAAUUUUUUGUAGAUAAAAAACU